UUAUACUAAAUAAAUUAUUGUAUUUAUACUUCAUCCAGAAGAUGGAACAGAAUUAUAAGUCAAUAAAACCAGUGUCUAGACUUAGAGCUUUUUGGACGGUAUCAUAAAACUUCAAGAAUCAUCAUCUGUAAUAAUACUUGAGGAACCAUCCUCUGUCCUGGUACCAUCCUCUGUCCUGGUAAAAUGGAUGAUAUGUGGUGCUUCUGCCUCUGCUAAAAUUUAAGAGGAAGAUGUUUGUAUUCCUGAGAAAAGCAGCCAAUAGAGUGAUGUCUCCUUAAAUGUACAGAUAAAGAAGGAAAUCAUGUUCAUAUGAAGCGUUCUUAAAAUUCUGGGAGCACAAAUCAGAGACCUCAACCGUCCCUGAAGUGUCAGUGAUUAUUUUACAUAGCGGACAUUUGGGCUAAGGCUAAAAGAAGGAGUUUCAAGGAGGACCAGAGUGUUCACUGCUAUACUGCCGUAUGGUGUGUGUCUGCCAGAGAGGUUGAGUUCUUCUGCAAAGACUCGGGGCUUCCAAAGGGAAAGGAACGACAGGCUUUAAUUACAACGAAG
rnacentral:lncRNA from 12 species